AACUACGUGCCAGCAGCCGCGGUAAUACGUAGGGCGCAAGCGUUGUCCGGAAUUAUUGGGCGUAAAGAGCUCGUAGGCGGUUUGUCGCGUCUGCUGUGAAAGCCCGGGGCUCAACCCCGGGUCUGCAGUGGGUACGGGCAGACUAGAGUGCAGUAGGGGAGACUGGAAUUCCUGGUGUAGCGGUGAAAUGCGCAGAUAUCAGGAGGAACACCGAUGGCGAAGGCAGGUCUCUGGGCUGUUACUGACGCUGAGGAGCGAAAGCAUGGGGAGCGAACAGGAUUAGAUACCCUGGUAGUCCAUGCCGUAAACGUUGGGCACUAGGUGUGGGGGACAUUCCACGUUUUCCGCGCCGUAGCUAACGCAUUAAGUGCCCCGCCUGGGGAGUACGGCCGCAAGGCUAAAACUCAAAGGAAUUGACGGGGGCCCGCACAAGCGGCGGAGCAUGCGGAUUAAUUCGAUGCAACGCGAAGAACCUUACCAAGGCUUGACAUUCACCGGACCGCCCCAGAGAUGGGGUUUCCCUUCGGGGCUGGUGGACAGGUGGUGCAUGGUUGUCGUCAGCUCGUGUCGUGAGAUGUUGGGUUAAGUCCCGCAACGAGCGCAACCCUCGUUCUAUGUUGCCAGCACGUGAUGGUGGGGACUCAUAGGAGACUGCCGGGGUCAACUCGGAGGAAGGUGGGGAUGACGUCAAAUCAUCAUGCCCCUUAUGUCUUGGGCUUCACGCAUGCUACAAUGGCCGGUACAAAGGGUUGCGAUACUGUGAGGUGGAGCUAAUCCCAAAAAGCCGGUCUCAGUUCGGAUUGAGGUCUGCAACUCGACCUCAUGAAGUCGGAGUCGCUAGUAAUCGCAGAUCAGCAACGCUGCGGUGAAUACGUUCCCGGGCCUUGUACACACCGCCCGUCAAGUCACGAAAGUUGGUAACACCCGAAGCCGGUGGCCUAACCCCUUGUGGG
rnacentral:rRNA from 1 species